UGGGGGCGGGGAACGGGGGAAGGAGGGGAAGGGGUCUGUCUACUUAAGUAUUUAUUAAGUAAUGCAUUACUUUUAACCAGCUUGAAUUAACUCUGCAAAAUAGAUGGGUGUACAGAAACCCAGUCUGUAGCCCUGAGCUAAAAACGUGGAGACAGAGGAACUAAAAUUCUAUGUAGUCAAAGGGAGGAGAAGGAGUAACAUCUCACCCCACCACAAUAUGCUUCUUCUGAAAUGUGUUUCGGCAUGGAUUUCUUCUAAGAAACAGGUGGGAGAGGUCCAGUUAAUCCCUUAAAACAUAUGAAGCCUAAGUGGGAAGAGGAAAUUAAUCAUGAUGUAUGUUCUCUUCUUUAUUAUGAUUCAAUCCGUGCAUCUGUGGAUGGCUAAGAAUUUUCCAAACCAUGAAUUCAGAGAGGCAGCAUUUUUAUUUCCAGGUUUCCAAAUGUGGAAUUACUAGACCAAAAGGCACUGCUCGCCUUGGUUCAUUUUUCCUCUCCAUGGUCCACACAUUUUUUCAAAUCCUACAAGAUAAGAGGACCCAGACAUAGCCAGCGAUCCAGGCAGAGCACUUAGAAUUAUACUAUUAACAUUAUUCAGCAUUUGGUUCAUCUCUGCAAAUGCAUUUCAGAUCUGCAUGAUUUCAGCUCCUCUAGCUCCAUUACAAAGGCACAGCCCAUCAAAGCAACUUGCCAGAAAAGCCUCUAGCACCCUUAAUGUAAAAACCAACCCACACCCUGCAGGUGAAAUAGUGCAGGCGGCACAAAAUAAAAAUAAAAACACAAAAACGAUUUUUGAAAUUAUUUUUUCCACAAGGGAAAGCAAUUCUCUGUGAAUUGACUUAUGGGCCAUGACAUAAAACCCCAAAAUGAAAGAAAGAACGGGAACAGGAGGAAGACACCCCCCCCUCCAGGCAUGGACAGGUGUCCUGUUCGCUCUCCUGUCUCCUGAACCCUCUUCAGAGUCUCCGCCACAAGGAAGGCAGCCCGACCUGCAGUCCCAUGUCGAGUAACAUGGAGACUGGAGAUCUCUCCUACAAGGUUUCACCCCCUAAGUUCUCUGAAGACCCUCUCAGAACAAGAAAAUUUUUUCUCACAGGAGAAUUGGAGAGUCUAUGAGUUCAUGCUCGAAGUGAAUUUCCUAAUUUCCUCUCUGAGCAAAUACCAGGGUAUUUAUUUCUCUUACGUAAUUUCCAGGGAGUCCGCUCUGUGACCCGACUUCUAUUCUGUUGGUCUACUGAGGGACCUUACCGUCAAACGGUCACCCGUGGUGAGAACGUACCCAAGGACUGAUAUAUGACUGCAAAGGAACUUAACAAUUCCUGGAAGGAAAAGGGUUAAGAGCCAGUAAAAACAGCAUAAAUUUACACAUGACCUAGUACGAUUACACUUUUAUUCUCUUCCUUGCAAGGAACAACAAUGGCGACAUCCAUAAGUAAUGCUUCUGGUCUAAAAACCUUCUCGCCAACCUUCUGGUUCGAAGGGAUCUCUAGACAGAGAGAUGUAUUUGCCGCUGAUUUUUCUUUCAGAAGGUUCUAAAAGGUUCAUUACAUCAUGGAAAAAUAAUCUCCACUAUUGGGAGCAGGGAGCAGCCUUGGGUGAUUGGUUUGUGACGGUCUGAUUCUGGCUGACAAGUUCUAGAAUUACAGCUAUUUUGUCCCCAUCUUAACCUUACUGUGAGGAGGGGAGAUGGCUUCAACUGACAAAGGAACUUGACUUCAGAAAGAAUUAUGAGCAGAAAACAAAAACAAAAACAAAAAAACCCAAAAAUGGUCCUGGAGAAAAAUAGGGGACAUGCAUUUGUUUUCUCUUAUAGAUGAGAUCAAAUUCUCCAAAGAGUGAAUGAGCCAGACACUGCAGUCCUCCAGGUCCUCAUCCUGCAGUGGAGGCUUCCCUAUGGGAGCAAACUAGUUGCACACUGAGCACUCUGUAGGGGGUCCAGUGUGGGGCAGUGACGGGUGCGGAUGGAGAGAUAGAAAGUGGCAGGAGCUAGACGGCAGCCCUCUGCCUACCUCCCAGCCCCAACCCCCACCCCACCACUCUGAUCCCUUAACUCCCUCCCAGCAGUGUCCCCUUUCCUUUUUCCCCUUUCUCCUCUAGGAAUUUUCCAUCAGCUAGAGAACAAGGACAUCAGUAGUCACACUAAUGGGAAAAGUUGCAUGUUUGUCUUUGGCCCUGGCAGCAUCUGGGCAGCCAUGUACCUGCCUAAGAAGCCCAAUGACGAUGAGUGGUGCAUUGGCUGCCCCCAGACCCUGUCCUACCAAUGUCACUCUCUUCUCUUCCUCCCCUCUCCUCCUCCUUCCUUGUGGUUCCUUCCCUAAUGUCUCAAGGAAAACCUUUAUGAUGCUUCCUGGCAAUGGAGCUCAAUGGCUGUUCUAGAUCAGGAUGGUACCUGGAAGAGGUGGUCUUGGGAACUUUUCAAUAGUUAACUCAUAACUCCAUAAUGAAGGACUCAAUUGAAAUGAAAAAGGUAGCAACCCACAGGGGGAAAAAAAGAGACAUUUUGAGAUAGUGUCAUUCGGAGACUUUCUUCCUUUAAAUACAAUUAAAAAAAAAAAACUUGAUUCCUUGUGUAGAAUUUUAUUUUAAAGUCCCCUUUAGUUUGUUCAUGGAAACGAUUUAAGAUUGAGGAUUUUGAUGGGAGAGUAUUGACAUCAAGAAAAGGAACCAGAGCCAAAAUCAUGAUUUAUAUGCAAAUGUCCCCAUAUUACAAGACUCUUAGAAAAUGAAAACUUUUUCCUAAUAUCCAGACCUUUCUUUUUAAACCCAGGAUGUCACCCUUUCCCCUGUUCUGGAACAGGGUGGGAUGUGCAACGCUGUAGCCCAUGGGCCAAAAUCUUGCUCACCGUCUAUACAGCUCCUGAGCUAAGAAGGGUUUACAGUUCUUAACUGUAGGUGGAAAAAAAAAAAAAAUUGAAAGAAUAAUGUUUUGUGACACUAGACUAUUUUAUAAAAUUCAAAUUUCUAUCUUCAUUAGUAAAUUUGUAACUGGAACGUAGCCACUCUUGGAACGCAGCCACUCAUCGUGUAUGACUGCUGCUUCUGUGAUCUAACAGCUAAGUUGAGUAGAAGAGACAGAGCCCCCGUGUGGCCCACAAACCCUGGGAUAAUGACCUUCUGGCCCCUUAUGGACAAAGUUUGCUGAACACCGGUCCAGAAUACUGCUGUGGGCAUUAGGCCAAGUUGAGCAUAAAGGGUAGGAAAGCUAUUCCUCAGCUCUAGUAACUAGCAGCUGAAUACAUUUAAUGGUAGGGUUUAUUGAACUGCUGGUGCCUCCUUGUUAAAAUGGAGAGAAAAUGCUCAUAAACUUACUUUUAGGAAUAACCAUAUAUGGAGUAUAAAAUAUGUAUUCAAACAAUAAAUAUUUUCUGUUCAAACUAAUUAUAGCUGGCAUUAUUUUUGAUCAAGUUCACGUCCGUGUCAAAAUUCAGUACCUUCCACGAAGCCUCCUAAAAUAAAACUAAGAUUACUGUAAAUAUCAGUCCUUAAAUCAGUGAACAUCAAAACUGAUUCUAUGAGGACUGGAUUUUUGCAAAUCUGUAGCUAGUCUGUUUCAGGCUUGUAGAUCUACAGCAGACCUGAGAGUCUGUGAAACUAUCAAACACAUUUUUCCCUUUGAGCUGCGUCAACUCAAGGUACCGUGCAUUUGAUCUCAUUAGCAAUCGUUAAGUGUUGCAUGUAAGAGUAUUUAGUGAUUGAAAAAUAUAAAGAAAAAAUAAAUAAUAG